GAUUACCCAACCCUCUCGGUAAUCGCGGCUG
rnacentral:ncRNA from 1 species